rnacentral:rRNA from 1 species
AAUUUACCUUGUUACGCUACACCUGAUCAUGGAUCCUACCGUGGUAAUCGCCCUCUUCCGGUUGGGCCAACACUUCCUGGUAAAAACCACUCCAUGGUGUGACGAACGUGUGUACAGAACCGGUGCGUAUUCACCGCGACAUGCUGAUCCACGGUGGCACGAUUCCGACUUCGCGAUCGAGGUUGCAGACUGCGAUCCGGACUACGAUCGGGUUUCCUGGAUUCAGCUCCUCGCGGUUAGCGACCUCUGUCCGACCAUUGUAUGACGUGAAGCCCUGCAAACCGUGAGGACUUAAAUCAUCCACCUUCCUCGGUUUGUCUGUGACCGAUCUCCGUGGAGUGCCACUCGUAGCAACUGGCGGCAAAGUUGCGCUCGUUGCAGGACUUAACCUUAACAUCUCACGACACGAGCGACGCCAUGUGCACAGCACCUGUUCCGGUUCUCUUGACAUCGAAUCUCUUCGGGAUUCGAACAUAUCAGGGUAGGUAAGGUUUUCGCGUUGCAUCGAUUAAUCAUCAUCCACCGCUGUGCGAUCCCGUCAGUCGCGAGUUUUAAUCGCACGACAAGCCUCCUGGGCAGUCCUUCACCGCGUUAGCUGCGCUGCAAGGCCGAGAGCCCCAGCGCAGCAGAUUGACAUCGUUUAGGGCGUGGACUACCGGGAGUAUCUAAUCUGUUUGCUCCCGCUCGUGCAUGAGGCGUCAAUUGAUAUUAUCGGGAGAACUGCCUUCGCCAUCGGUAUUCAUCGCAUAUCUGCAUUUCUGCUACGCGGAUUCACCUCCUCAUUAUCUGCUCAGUAAUUAAAGUAAAUUCAAAAAUUAAGCUCUCCUGGGAUUUCAUCUCUUUCCGAACCACCGCGCCGCUUGCCGUAAUUCCGAUUAACGACGCACCCACCACAUAUUACGGCUGCUGGCGUGGUUAACCGUUAGCAUUCUGCAGGUACCGUCAGUUGCACGGGGUAUUAUCCCGUGCCGUUCUGCCAAAGUGCUGCAACGACCUUCAUCCGCGGGAUGGCACGGAUCAGGGAUUUCCCCAUUGUCAAAUUCCCCACUGCUGCCCUCCGUAGAAUCGGGCAAGUAUCUCGAUCCAGUGUGGCGGUCAUCUCAAACCAGCUGCGGAUCAUCCUUGUUGAGCCGUUACCCGCAACUGGCCUAAUCCGAUAUCAGCCGCUCUAGUGCGGUGAAGGUCCCACUCCCGAACGUAUGCGUAUUAGCUACUUUCGCGUAGUUAUCCACAUACUGGGCACGUUCCGAUACAUUACUCACCCCAUUCGCCACUCAUACCGGACCGAGUCGUGCUGCGUUCGACUUGCAUGUGUAAGCAUCCGCCAGCGUUCGUCGAGCCGUAAUCA